UGCCAGCCGCCGCGGUAAUACGGAGGGUGCAAGCGUUAAUCGGAAUCACUGGGCGUAAAGCGCACGCAGGCGGCCUGUUAAGUCAGAUGUGAAAGCCCCGGGCUUAACCUGGGAAUUGCAUUUGAUACUGACAGGCUAGAGUAUGGGAGAGAGAAGUGGAAUUCCACAUGUAGCGGUGAAAUGCGUAGAUAUGUGGAGGAACAUCAGUGGCGAAGGCGACUUCUUGGCCCAAUACUGACGCUCAGGUGCGAAAGCGUGGGGAGCAAACAGGAUUAGCUA
rnacentral:rRNA from 1 species